AGGUCGGAGGAUACCCCCGGGAAANUGAGAAUAAUACUCCAUAGAUUUAGAAUGCUGGAAUGCUUUUAAAUUGAAAGAUUUAUCGCCUAAGGAUAAGUCUGCGGACUAUCAGGUCGUAGUUAGGGUAAAUACCUGACUAGCCUACGACGGAUACGGGUUGUGAGAGCACUAGCCCGGAGAUGAUAUCUGACACACGAUAUCAGGCCCUACGGGGCGCAGCAGGCGCGAAAACUUCGCACUGUGCGAAAGCACGACGAGGGAAUCCCAAGUGCUGGCUCGUAAGAGUCAGCUGUUUCUUUGUCUAAAAAACAGAGAGAGUAAGAGCUGGGUAAGACGGGUGCCAGCCGCCGCGGUAAUACCUGCAGCUCAAGUGGUGGCCGCUAUUAUUGGGCCUAAAACGUCCGUAGCCGGUUCUAUAAAUGCCUGGGUAAAUCGUACGGCUUAACCGUACGAAUUCCGGGUAGACUGUUCACUUGGGACCGGGAGAGGCUAGAGGUACUCCUGGGGGUACAGGUGAAAUUCUGUAAUCCUAGGGGGACUACAGUGGCGAAGGCGUCUAGCUAG
rnacentral:rRNA from 1 species